rnacentral:lncRNA from 1 species
GGCAGAACUACUAUUCCAACCAGGAAUAGGCAGGUUUGAAGCAAAAGCAUCUCCAUCCUGGGGAAUUUUCCGCAUUUUCCGAAAAGAAAAAACAGCAAGGUUCCUUCUCGACAAUUAUUGAAAGACUGGAUAAGUGUAAAAUUGUUGUUUAAAUCAACCACUGUACACUGUACGUGUGUUUAAUGUAUACAGUACAUAUCCAAUUUAAAUUGA